GCCUAUGGCCAUACUAGCCUGAACACGCCCGAUCCCGUCCGAUCUCGGAAGCUAAGCAGGCUCAGGCCUGGUUAGUACUUGGAUGGGAGACCGCCUGGGAAUACCAGGUGCCGUAGGCUU
rnacentral:rRNA from 1 species